GAGGUAUUUGAAAUUUUAGUUUUUAUUUUUAUUUUUCUCUUUUAUGGGUUUGGUAUGUUUUCGUUUUCUUUUUUGGUUUUAAUAUGCAUAUGAGCUUGUUGAUGUUGGAGCUUGAUCUUGUAAUUAAGCAUCAUGUUUACACAUGGUAUGGAAUCUUUGAUUUUGGGUUAUCUUCAUUUUUGUCUCUUUGCUAGUGAUUUUGGGUUGGGUUUGAAUAAACCUAUUAGGCAAGUUCAGUUAGCAAUUUCCUGCUUCUCAUGGUAAAUAUUUCACAUGGGUACUCUUGAACCAAAAAAAAUAUUAAAAAUGCAUUUCACAUGCUAGAAGCAAUUGACUUCUGAAGCAAACAGCUUUUUUCACUAUAUAUAUAUAUAUAUAUAUAUAACUUUCAAGACUAUAACUACUGCUUUUGCCUUUACUAAGUUUCAGCAUUCAGUAAGUAAGUUGGAUGGAUGGUAUAGAAUUGAAGAAUGAAAAUAGGGAUUUUGAAGGUGAUUGUAGGAACUUACUGGAUGGCAGAGAUGAUUUAUUUAUUUACAACUAGUACUAAUGGUGAAAAUGUUGGCAAGGCGAUGUGCCUUUGCAAGGUUACUUUCUUUUUCUAUAGUUUUGUUGUAUAUAUUGAAUGAAAUUUGUGCCUUCCUGUGAAGGGCG
rnacentral:lncRNA from 1 species